rnacentral:rRNA from 1 species
UCGCCUGUUUAUCAAAAACAUGGUUUCUUGGGAAAUUUAGGAAAUCUAACCUGCCCACUGAAAUAAAUUUUAAGGGCCGCAGUAUUUUGACUGUGCAAAGGUAGCAUAAUCAUUAGUCUUUUAAUUGAAGGCUGGUAUGAAAGGUUGGACGAAGUAGAUUCUGUUUUAUAAUAAUUGUAGUUGAAUUUAAAUUUUAAGUAAAAAAACUUAAAUAUUAUUAAGGGACGAGAAGACCCUAUAGAGUUUAAUAUAUAUAGUAUAUAAUUGAGUUAAGAAUGAAUUUUUGAUUAUUAUGGAAUAUAUUUAAUUGGGGUAUUUGGAAGAUAAAAACAAUUCUUCUUAAAAUUUAAUAUUUUAGGUAGUUAAAUGAUCCAUAUUUUGUGAUUAAAAGAUUAAAUUACCUUAGGGAUAACAGCAUAAUUUUCUUUAAGAGUUCAAAUUGAAAAGGGAGUUUAUGACCUCGAUGUUGGAUUAAGAUUAGUUAUAGGUGUAGAUGUUUAUUAACUAGGUCUGUUCGACCUUUAAAAUCUUACAUGAUCUGAGUUCAAACCGGAGA